UACGUAGGGUGCAGGCGUUAAUCGGAAUUACUGGGCGUAAAGCGUGCGCAGGCGGUUUGCUAAGACAGGUGUGAAAUCCCCGGGCUUAACCUGGGAACUGCGCUUGUUACUGGCAAGCUGGAGUGUGGCAGAGGGGGGUGGAAUUCCACGUGUAGCAGUGAAAUGCGUAGAGAUGUGGAGGAACACCGAUGGCGAAGGCAGCCCCCUGGGCCGACACUGACGCUCAGGCACGAAAGCGUGGGGAGCAAACAGG
rnacentral:rRNA from 1 species